GUAAUGUCUGGGAAACUGCCUGAUGGAGGGGGAUAACUACUGGAAACGGUAGCUAAUACCGCAUAACGUCGCAAGACCAAAGAGGGGGACCUUCGGGCCUCUUGCCAUCGGAUGUGCCCAGAUGGGAUUAGCUAGUAGGUGGGGUAACGGCUCACCUAGGCGACGAUCCCUAGCUGGUCUGAGAGGAUGACCAGCCACACUGGAACUGAGACACGGUCCAGACUCCUACGGGAGGCAGCAGUGGGGAAUAUUGCACAAUGGGCGCAAGCCUGAUGCAGCCAUGCCGCGUGUAUGAAGAAGGCCUUCGGGUUGUAAAGUACUUUCAGCGGGGAGGAAGGGAGUAAAGUUAAUACCUUUGCUCAUUGACGUUACCCGCAGAAGAAGCACCGGCUAACUCCGUGCCAGCAGCCGCGGUAAUACGGAGGGUGCAAGCGUUAAUCGGAAUUACUGGGCGUAAAGCGCACGCAGGCGGUUUGUUAAGUCAGAUGUGAAAUCCCCGGGCUCAACCUGGGAACUGCAUCUGAUACUGGCAAGCUUGAGUCUCGUAGAGGGGGGUAGAAUUCCAGGUGUAGCGGUGAAAUGCGUAGAGAUCUGGAGGAAUACCGGUGGCGAAGGCGGCCCCCUGGACGAAGACUGACGC
rnacentral:rRNA from 1 species